rnacentral:rRNA from 1 species
UACGUAGGGGGCAAGCGUUGUCCGGAAUCAUUGGGCGUAAAGCGCGCGUAGGUGGCCUCAUAAGUCCGCUGUGAAAGUCAAAGGCUCAACCUUUGAAAGCCGGUGGAUACUGUGAGGCUAGAGUACGGAAGAGGCGAGUGGAAUUCCUGGUGUAGCGGUGAAGUGCGUAGAUAUCAGGAGGAACACCUGUGGCGAAAGCGGCUCACUGGACCAUAACUGACGCUGAUGCACGAAAGCUAGGGGAGCAAACAGG